rnacentral:rRNA from 1 species
UACGGGGGGGGCAAGCGUUGUUCGGAAUUACUGGGCGUAAAGGGCUGGUAGGCGGCCAACUAAGUCGGAUGUGAAAUCCCCAGGCUUAACCUGGGAACUGCAUCCGAUACUGGUCGGCUUGAAUCCGGGAGAGGGAUGCGGAAUUCCAGGUGUAGCGGUGAAAUGCGUAGAUAUCUGGAGGAACACCGGUGGCGAAGGCGGCAUCCUGGACCGGCAUUGACGCUGAGGCGCGAAAGCUAGGGGAGCAAACGGG